rnacentral:rRNA from 1 species
UACAGGGGGUGCAACCGUUGUUCGGAUUUACUGGGCGUAAAGCGUGUGUAGGCGGCUUCGCAAGUUGGAUGUGAAAUCCCACGGCUCAACCGUGGACGUGCAUCCAAAACUGCGUCGCUAGAGUCUCGGAGAGGAAGGUGGAAUGCUUGGUGUAGAGGUGAAAUUCGUAGAUAUCAAGCAGAACACCUGCGGCGAAGGCGGCCUUCUGGACGAUGACUGACGCUGAGACACGAAAGCGUGGGGAGCAAACAGG